UUCGAAUAGAGCGAAAAAUUUCCUAAUGUUUUGGUAAGCUCGUCUAGUUUGCGACUAAUUUAGAUAGGUCAAAUGGCCGCUCAAGUUCGAACGCUCUCACGAGAUUUACUUCUGGUCUUCUGAAGAUCCGUAAAAGUCGUGGGAGAAGGCAGAGGGUCCAAAAACAGGAUUUUCCGGCCAUUCGUUACCUUCGUAUUAACAAAGAACGGAGAGGGAAGUGGCUAAUCUUCCUUCGCUGCAGUUGUGGAGAAAGUCAUGCAACAAACGGGUAUUUGAGGCAUCCUCGUCAACAAUCGAAUACCAAAUGUCUUAAGGAAAAAGAUUGCGACCAUGUGUGCUUAGCUAAAGCGAACAAAGAAGGAAAGUGGAGGUUUCGGUGUUAAGAGGCUCACUGAUAAGUGGCGUGACCGUACUUACUCCGUCAAGUUAUUUUAUUACGAGCUUGAUAAUUAUUUUAUUGAAAAGGAAAAUCAAGAUUUAAGAGGGGAGAAACGAACGCCAGAAGAAUCUUUGAAGAAUGAAAUUACCAAGCGACAGAAACUUGAGGAAAAGCUCGACGACACAGGGAGAAGCUACAAGUAUCACAAGAAGAGAUU